UCCACAGUGGAAUUAGAAAAUUGUUUACCAAAAUAAAUUGUGCUUCUUUGCCUAAGAGAUGUAGCUGUCCAUUACUGGGGGAGGAAAGUAAUUCCUCUCAUCCUUCCUGAGGUUUGGCUGAGUUAUUGCAGUGCAUGAAGUUUGGUUGUAAGUAUGAUAAGGCUCUGUCUAAAGACAAAAUACAGCAAGAGGUACCCUGGAAAACUUACUGCUGGAACUCAAGGAAAAAGCUGUCAGCUGAUGUGUACUCUGGCUGCUGGGUGUCUGGUAGAGCAGAGCUGAGACUAAGAAUAGGGAGUUUGGGGGUGUUUCCUGCGGGCCAGCUGUGGUAUCGUUGCUGGAAAGUCUCAGUUACAAGUGAAGAGCACGGGCUGGAUGAGAAGUGAUGAGUUACUGGUGACUGAUCUCAGCUGAUGGGGGAAAAAAUGACUCCUCAGUGAACUGGGCUCAUUCCCAAAAAAGGAAUCCAUCACUUUGGAAAAGAGAUUAAUGGAGUACAUGGAGCAGCUCUGCUGGCCCCUGGACAGAGGCUUGCACUGGAGCCACCGGAUGAGGCGUUUCGUUGUGUCAUCGUGCGAUUAUUUAUAUCUUCC